CCUUCACAACAAUGAAAUCAUGGAUAAUUCUUCUAUUUAAUUGAAGUUCUCUAAGCUUCUUCCCCCAUUGAAAGCAGUCUACAAAAUAAUUGAGAACAAGGUCAGCGCCAAAAUUCAAACCAUAUAAUUUCUUGCUAAUCUCAUAUACUGUUAUUCAAAAGAAAGAUGUAUUUUGCUGUAAGAUUUUAGCACUAGUACACAAGACAUAAAAAGGUACCAAAAAUCCUUAGUGAUCUGAAGCAGCAAACAAAAUUUAAACACAGACAAUGCAUGCCAUAGUAAUAGCAGCACAAACAGAGAAAUGCAAAAGGCACCUCAUACUAGUAUGGUGAUCUCCGUCGCAAAUUUUAAGCUCUAUUUCAUGUAGAUAAUUUAUUUGGUUUUAGUAAACAACUACAGUAGCAUGCAGUAUAUAUGAAGGGAUUACAACAGGUUCCUAUAGUACACUAGAUAGGCCAACAUUUUAGACUACUAGUACCUAGAAAUCAUAUGCAUCUCUGUUUUUUCUCUAGCCCAGCCACAAGAUCAUAAGAGAAAUCAUAAGUAUCUGGUGCAUUUGAUAUAAUAAAGCAGCUCCCGAACAAACAGAAGUUCUGCAUCUUCACAUCCCAAUUCAGGAGAUCUGUGGGAAAACCUACCCUGAGGAGCUCGCUGCGGGAUCUUCUCCAUGGACAGCCCCCUUCUUUCACAACACCAGAUUGGCCUCUUCACGAACCUGCAAAAAUAAAUGCACACACAAAUCAGAUUGUGGGAGACGAGAGGAGGAAGAGGAGGAGGAGGGAUGUGUAUGCAAGUGUAUAAGCAUCAAGCAUGAGAUACUUUUCAAAUUACUAUGAACAUUCUUAGUUUCUUUGAUUGAAGUAGGUGACUGGGGCUAGGUGUGCUCACUACUAGGCAGUAAAAACUCGGUAUAUACAAGCAUUGCGUGCUUAGUUAUCGGCGACGAAUAUCUAGACACCAAAAUAUCGGUGCCUCUGCC
rnacentral:lncRNA from 1 species